GUCAGCCAUAAUGUAGACAUCAAAAUUUUUGUGCUCGUCACGUAUCUAUCGACAUCCAUGUCGAAAGUUGUGUAUUUACUACCGCAUUAGCGGUCCGGGAGUUGGCGACCUCUCGCUGCCCCAUGCCUGAGGUGUGAUCCAUAAGCUUCGCCCAUAACAUCUGGGCAUCCCAGGGCUUGUCCCGUGGUUCUACGGCGAUGGGAGCCGCCAACAAAUAUCCCAGGAAAGUUUUCGACGACUAAAUACUAAGCAUGCAGCAUGGGUAGUUAACCUGUUUCGGCCACGCGUAUCUUGCAAUUUCAUCGACUAUUUCAUCAAACUACCCCUUUGGCAUCGUAAUCUACAUUUAAUUCCUGAGUAAUAUUUUAAUUCUUUCUGUAUCUUAAAUUUACGUUAAUUAUUUUGAAAAUGUAACUAAGUAAUAAUCAUUUUGAAAAAUGUAACUAAUUAAUCAUAUUGUGAAGAUGUAACUAAGUAAAAAAAAAAAAUGUUGGGGCCCCGUUUUGUUUUGAAUGUACGAAUACUCAAUUAAUACUCUUUAUUGUGUUUUAAAUAAAUAUGUUUUGUUAUGGCUGACCCGAUAUCAGUGUGUAUUUUAUGUUGCAAUUACCUAACCUUUUUAUUUAAUUUCUUAUCUAUAUAAAUUCUUAACAGGUUAUCAACUUUUGUUCGGUAGUUUUCCCAGUCGGCAUAUUUCCUCUCUACUCAUUAUUUAUUCAAUACAACAAAGUGCCGUGCCAUUGAGCCUAAGGUCCUGGAAUCUUCUGCCGUAAUUUACCUUGGUGAGGUUUAGCAAACCGAAACAAGAUUAAUAACCGGCACAAAGAUGGUAGCAGAGCUGGUGGUUCUGUCAUGUUGCUUUGUUGUGUUUCUUGUGCAUGUGUAGGAUAUUUUAUUUUCCUUGCAUGUGUCCCUGCCUCAGAGUUUUGCAUGGCUUGGGGAUGGCAAUAGUUUGUUUU